UGAAUAAAUCUUUUUAGUAUUUUCUUUAGAUAAAUAAAAUUAGAGAAAUAAGAAAGAAAGGAAUUGGCAGGAUUUUGUUUACACGUGGAUUGCAUUUGUCAAUAACCAAGACUUACUCUCUAAGCUAAAACUAGAAGCUAAAUAUCUCUCUCUAAGCUAAAGAACUUAAAAUCCCUAAAAAUAUUGAGAGAGAAAUCCAAAUGUGUUGACAGUCGAAUGGUGGUAGAAAUUUAAGGAUAUUUAUACCAAUUGUGUUCGAACGAGGUGAGAAAAGUUGGCAGAUCCAAGCCUUCUUCUACUUGUGAGGAAAACACAGCAUAUGGUAGAUUCAAAGCACCAAGCCUAAGGUGGGACGACAGUCCAAUAAUUACAAGAGCACAGUUAGAUGCAGAAGCACUAAGCAAGAAGGAAAAAUGAAAGCAAAUUCAAAGGAACCAUAAGAUACAUCUUUCUCAACAGUAAUUGGAAGUCAAUCAUCUUAGUGCAGUAAUGCAAGGAAUCCACCUUGGAGGGUAUAAUGUGUUUGAGUGACUUUUGAUGGUUUUUUUUAGUACAUAGCCGGUAGUUGUUAUGGCACAAUCAUUUUGGAAUUGGGGUACAUUUUGGCACUUUUUAGCAUAAAGAUCAACUUAGGAGUAUAUAAUGACACUUUUUGAUAUAAAGAUCAACUUAGGGAUAUAUAGUGACACUUUUUGGUUUAUAAACUGGAUUAGAGGUAUAAUUUGGCAGUUGAUAUAUAUAUUGGCAGAUCUUGAUACA